AUUUAAAAAAAAAAAAAAAGAAUCCGUGGGAUUGUGUUGAAGGUAGCCUGCCACACUCAGUUUCCCCAUCCUCCAAUAUCUUCUAUGAGAAAUUCUCUCACCUCUCUUUACCUUUCUCUUUCCUUAACUCUUUUUGUUCUAAUUAGUUACAAUGACAGUACAAUGACCUUGACAUGUCAUACAUUUGAAUCAGAUGGGAUAUAAUAUCUCAUUUUUCUGAGUAUACAGGUUGCAGAAUCACAUUGGUCAUACAUUCACAUAUAUACACACAGUAAUAAUGAUGUCUGUUUCAUUCUACUAUCCUUCCUAUCUCCCCUCCCCUCCCCUCCCCUCCCCUCACUUCUCUACCUAAUCUAGGUUAACACUAUUUUUUCUCACAUCUUCAUACAUGGCAUUUUGUAUAACAAUGAGGGUCUCCUUCCACCAUCCAUGCAAUUCCCUUUCUCCCUCCCUUUCCCUCCCACCCCUCUUCCCUAUGUAGAAGUAAUCAUCUUCCCAUGCUCUUCCUGUCUUCCCCAUUUUGAGUCACACACACACCCCCACACCCCUCCCCCCCCCCCUUAUGUCAGAGAAGACAUUCGGCAUUUGUUUUUUGGGAUUGGCUAACUUCACUUAGCAUAAUCUGCUCUAAUGCCAUCCAUUUCCCUAUCCUUAACUCUUUCUACUACAAAAAUUCUAGUUACAUCCAUUCUUUAAAAAAAAAAAAAAAAAAAGAUAUAGGCUCAGUGUGGUGUUACACACCUAUAAUCCCAGCAGCUGGGGAGGCUGAGACAGGAGGAUCACAAGUUCAAAGCCAGCCCCAGCAAAAGCGAAGCACUAAGCAACUUAGUGAGACUGUCACUAAAUAAAAUAGGGCUGGGGAUAUGGCUCAGUAGUCGAGUGCCCCUGAAUUCAAACCCAAGUAUCAAAAAAAAAAACCCUCCCCCCCCCCAAAUUGAUCAGGAUUUGGUUGCAGAAAACCAAACCUAUUCUAACUAGUUAAACCAGUAAGGCACUUGGUGUAGGGUGCUAACUGCACCACAGAAUUUUUGGAAGAGCUGAAGAAACAAAUGAUGGACUACCAGAAAUUAUUCCUAAGGAUGGCUAAAGGACCUGACACCGCUUCCCUGCAUUAGGAAGCAGCCAGCUCAAGCAGCACACCGUUGUUGCCUCUGUCGGCAUUCUGCUGACAGUGCCCUGCACGCCUUCUUUACUCCUGCUGUCCUCUGAAUUCAAGUGAUAAACUAAUGCAUCUGAUUGAGUUUAAUUGAGAUGUGAUUUAUUUAAACUAGAGGCUAAGGAUGUAGUUCAAGGGUAGAGCACUUACCUAGGAAGUGCAAUGUCCUGGAUUCAGUCCCCAGCACCACAAAAAUAAACAAACUAGCUAGCUACAAGGGAAUGUGGAAAACAUCUUUAGCUUUUCAGUCUCUUCAGUGUAUGCUGAGUAAACCAUAUAUAGAACCCUCCACACUCCCUCUCAAGCAGUUGCUUCUUUCUUCAGUGCCAGGUUUUAUAAAAGAUUCUUGAAAGGCUUGUUUAGGUCGUCCCCACCUACCCACUCCCUG
rnacentral:lncRNA from 1 species